CCUACGGGUGGCAGCAGUGAGGCAUAUUUGUCAAUGGGCGCGAGCCUGAACCAGCCAAGUAGCGUGAAGGAUGACUGCCCUACGGGUUGUACACUUCUUUUAUAAAGGAAUAAAGUGAGGCACGUGUGUCUUUUUGUAUGUACUUUAUGAAUAAGGAUCGGCUAACUCCGUGCCAGCAGCCGCGGUAAUACGGAGGAUCCGAGCGUUCGCCGGAUUUAUUGGGUUUAAAGGGAGCGUAGAUGGGUUGUUAAGUCAGUUGUGAAAGUUUGCUGCUCAACCGUAAAAUUGCAAUUGAUACUGGCAGUCUUGAGUACAGGUGAGGUAGGCGGAAUUCGUGGUGUAGCGGUGAAAUGCUUAGAUAUCACGAAGAACUCCGAUUGCGAAGGCAGCUUACUAAACUGCCACUGACAUUGAUGCUCGAAAGUGUGGGUAUCAAACAGGAUUAGAUACCCCUGUAGUC
rnacentral:rRNA from 1 species